rnacentral:rRNA from 1 species
UCGACGGCAGCACGGGUGCUUGCACCUGGUGGCGAGUGGCGAACGGGUGAGUAAUGCGUCGGAACGUACCGAGUAAUGGGGGAUAACGCAGCGAAAGUUGUGCUAAUACCGCAUACGCCCUGAGGGGGAAAGUGGGGGACCGCAAGGCCUCACGUUAUUCGAGCGGCCGACGUCUGAUUAGCUAGUUGGUGGGGUAAAGGCCUACCAAGGCGACGAUCAGUAGCGGGUCUGAGAGGAUGAUCCGCCACACUGGGACUGAGACACGGCCCAGACUCCUACGGGAGGCAGCAGUGGGGAAUUUUGGACAAUGGGGGCAACCCUGAUCCAGCCAUUCCGCGUGAGUGAAGAAGGCCUUCGGGUUGUAAAGCUCUUUCAGCUGGAACGAAACGGUACGCGCUAACAUCGUGUGCUAAUGACGGUACCGGCAGAAGAAGCACCGGCUAACUACGUGCCAGCAGCCGCGGUAAUACGUAGGGUGCGAGCGUUAAUCGGAAUUACUGGGCGUAAAGCGUGCGCAGGCGGAUUGUUAAGCAAGACGUGAAAUCCCCGGGCUUAACCUGGGAAUGGCGUUUUGAACUGGCAGUCUAGAGUGCGUCAGAGGGGGGUGGAAUUCCACGUGUAGCAGUGAAAUGCGUAGAGAUGUGGAGGAACACCGAUGGCGAAGGCAGCCCCCUGGGAUGACACUGACGCUCAUGUACGAAAGCGUGGGUAGCAAACAGGAUUAGAUACCCUGGUAGUCCACGCCCUAAACGAUGUCAACUGGUUGUUGGG